rnacentral:rRNA from 1 species
GACGAACGCUGGCGGCGUGCCUAAUACAUGCAAGUAGAACGCACAGUUUAUACCGUAGCUUGCUACACCAUAAACUGUGAGUUGCGAACGGGUGAGUAACGCGUAGGUAACCUGCCUGGUAGCGGGGGAUAACUAUUGGAAACGAUAGCUAAUACCGCAUAAUAUUGAUUAUUGCAUGAUAAUUGAUUGAAAGAUGCUAUUGCAUCACUACCAGAUGGACCUGCGUUGUAUUAGCUAGUAGGUGAGGUAACGGCUCACCUAGGCGACGAUACAUAGCCGACCUGAGAGGGUGAUCGGCCACCCUGGGACUGAGACACGGCCCAGACUCCUACGGGAGGCAGCAGUAGGGAAUCUUCGGCAAUGGACGAAAGUCUGACCGAGCAACGCCGCGUGAGUGAAGAAGGUUUUCGGAUCGUAAAGCUCUGUUGUAAGAGAAGAACGGGUGUGAGAGUGGAAAGUUCACACUGUGACGGUAUCUUACCAGAAAGGGACGGCUAACUACGU